UAGCUCUGGUUUUUGUUCAGUCAUGCAUAAAUCUUCUGCUUUUUAUUAAAGAUUUCUGUGGCGAGGAACAUCAAUGGGCUAUUGCUUCUCUGUUUUUUGGCUAGGCUCAAGUCUAGU